GUCAGGAUGGCUGAGUGGUCUAAGGCGCUGCGUUCAGGUCGCAGUCUCCCCUGGAGGCGUGGGUUCGAAUCCCACUUCUGACA
rnacentral:tRNA from 1 species